rnacentral:misc_RNA from 1 species
UAGACGGUGGGAGAGGGUGGUGGAAUUCCCGGAGUAGCGGUGAAAUGCGCAGAUACCGGGAGGAACGCCGAUGGCGAAGGCAGCCACCUGGUCCACCCGUG